UACGUAGGCAGCGAGCGUUGUUCGGAAUUACUGGGCGUAAAGAGUGUGUAGGCGGUGCUCUAAGUUCGGUGUGAAAUCUCCUGGCUCAACUGGGAGGGUGCGCCGGAAACUGGAGUGCUUGAGCGUGGGAGAGGAAAGCGGAAUUCCUGGUGUAGCGGUGAAAUGCGUAGAUAUCAGGAGGAACACCGAUGGCGAAGGCAGAUCUCUGGGCCGUAACUGACGCUGAGGAGCGAAAGCAUGGGGAGCGAACAGG
rnacentral:rRNA from 1 species